UGGGGAAUAUUGGGCAAUGGGCGAAAGCCUGACCCAGCGACGCCGCGUGAGCGAUGAAGGCCUUCGGGUUGUAAAGCUCUGUCAUGCGGAAAGAACGACCCUGUGACGCAUACUCACAGGAAGUGACGGUACCGCAGGAGGAAGCACCGGCUAACUCCGUGCCAGCAGCCGCGGUAAUACGGAGGGUGCAAGCGUUGUUCGGAAUUAUUGGGCGUAAAGGGCGCGUAGGCGGUAAUGCAAGUCAGAUGUGAAAUACUCCGGCUCAACCAGAGAAUUGCAUCUGAAACUGCAUAACUAGAGUACAGAAGAGGGAAACGGAAUUCCCGGUGUAGAGGUGAAAUUCGUAGAUAUCGGGAGGAACACCAGUGGCGAAGGCGGUUUCCUGGUCUGAUACUGACGCUGAGGCGCGAAAGUGUGGGGAGCAAACA
rnacentral:rRNA from 1 species